AAUAUAGGAGAGGAGAGGAUCGAGGGGAGGGCGAUUUGAUGGUGUUUGCGAGACGAAGGGAAAGGAGGAGACGGCGGCCGCCCACUCCUCCGCAAACCCGUCGGGCCAAGCUCCUCCACACCUACUCGUCGCCAUCACGCCUCUCCACAUGCUAGAUCUUGGAGAGGCGUGAGCUCCUCCGUGCACACGCCAGCCAUCAGAUGAGCGACGGUGAAUGCAAACGGUGUCCACCCAGGC
rnacentral:lncRNA from 1 species